rnacentral:lncRNA from 1 species
ACAAAACAACCUCAAAUCAAUCACCAUUUUACACAUUACACACCCAAACUCAGCCCGACCAUCUUACGCAAAAACAACCAUGAACUCAAUCAUAAUCAUGACAUUAAUCACUGCCAAAGCCCAAUUGGUAUCAGAUGAUCCCAACCAAGCAGCCAACCCAUAUUCUCAGCUAUGUUAGAUCACCUCUAAGACAAACCAAGCCCAUUAGACUUCUUGGCUCAAGUUUCCCAAUCCACGUAAACAAUGUGAUGAAGCAUGAAGGAAG